AGAUUGAACGCUGGCGGCAUGCCUUACACAUGCAAGUCGAACGGCAGCGCGGGGCAACCUGGCGGCGAGUGGCGAACGGGUGAGUAAUAUAUCGGAACGUACCCUGGAGUGGGGGAUAACGUAGCGAAAGUUACGCUAAUACCGCAUACGAUCUAAGGAUGAAAGUGGGGGAUUCGCAAGAACCUCAUGCUCCUGGAGCGGCCGAUAUCUGAUUAGCUAGUUGGUAGGGUAAAAGCCUACCAAGGCAUCGAUCAGUAGCUGGUCUGAGAGGACGAUCAGCCACACUGGAACUGAGACACGGUCCAGACUCCUACGGGAGCAGCAGUGGGAAUUUGGACAAGUGGGCGCAAGCCUGAUCCAGCAAUGCCGCGUGAGUGAAGAAGGCCUUCGGUUAGUAAAGUCUUCGUUUUGUCGAAGGGUAAGAAACGGUAG
rnacentral:rRNA from 1 species